rnacentral:rRNA from 1 species
GCUUGCUUUCUUGCUGACGAGUGGCGGACGGGUGAGUAAUGCUUGGGAAUCUGGCUUAUGGAGGGGGAUAACGACGGGAAACUGUCGCUAAUACCGCGUAGUGUCGAGAGACGAAAGUGCGGGACUGAGAGGCCGCAUGCCAUAGGAUGAGCCCAAGUGGGAUUAGGUAGUUGGUGGGGUAAAGGCCUACCAAGCCUGCGAUCUCUAGCUGGUCUGAGAGGAUGACCAGCCACACUGGAACUGAGACACGGUCCAGACUCCUACGGGAGGCAGCAGUGGGGAAUAUUGCGCAAUGGGGGGAACCCUGACGCAGCCAUGCCGCGUGAAUGAAGAAGGCCUUCGGGUUGUAAAGUUCUUUCGGUAUUGAGGAAGGUUGAUGUGUUAAUAGCACAUCAAAUUGACGUUAAAUACAGAAGAAGCACCGGCUAACUCCGUGCCAGCAGCCGCGGUAAUACGGAGGGUGCGAGCGUUAAUCGGAAUAACUGGGCGUAAAGGGCACGCAGGCGGUUAUUUAAGUGAGGUGUGAAAGCCCCGGGCUUAACCUGGGAAUUGCAUUUCAGACUGGGUAACUAGAGUACUUUAGGGAGGGGUAGAAUUCCACGUGUAGCGGUGAAAUGCGUAGAGAUGUGGAGGAAUACCGAAGGCGAAGGCAGCCCCUUGGGAAUGUACUGACGCUCAUGUGCGAAAGCGUGGGGAGCAAACAGGAUUAGAUACCCUGGUAGUCCACGCUGUAAACGCUGUCGAUUUGGGGGUUGGGGUUUAACUCUGGCGC